ACCAUCAGGUGGCCGCAGAGAAUAGGCCCAAGCGACUGUUUACCAAAAACAUCGGUUUCUGCUAAGUCGCAAGACGCUGGAUCGGAGCCGACGCCUGCCCCGUGCUGGAGGGGUAAAGGGACCUGUUAGAGCAACCGAAGCAGUGCACUUAAGCCCCAGUAACCGGCGGCCGUAACUAUAACGGUCCUAAGGUAGCGCACUUCCUUGUCGGGUAAGUUGUGACCCGCACGAAAGGCGUAACGACUUGGGCACUGUCGCCACAACAGACUCGGUGAAAUUAUAAGUCCUGGUCAUAUGCCGGAAUACCGCAAAAGGGAGGAGAGACCCCCAUGUGCUUUGCCUGCGCUUAG
rnacentral:rRNA from 1 species